ensembl:misc_RNA 7SK 7SK RNA
GGAGGUGAGGGCGAUCUGGCUGUGCCAUCUGUCACCCCAUUAAUCACCAGGGUUGAUUUGGCUGAGCUGCCUGGCUAGGUGGGUGUCCCCUGCCUCUCUCACUGCUUCACAUGCAUCCCUCCUGAAGCUGCAUGCUCCAUUCCUGAGACAGGAGGACUGGUCCUCGGUCAAAGAUAUACGAGUAGCUGUGCUCCCCUGCUAGAACCUGCAAACAGGCUCUCAAGAGUAGGAUAGGACUGUAGUGGAGUGCGUGUUUUUCUCUGCCCAGAGACUCUGAACACACUAACACAAAGUCUUCAUAU